rnacentral:rRNA from 1 species
AUUGAACGCUGGCGGCAGGCCUAACACAUGCAAGUCGAGCGGAUGAGUGGAGCUUGCUCCAUGAUUCAGCGGCGGACGGGUGAGUAAUGCCUAGGAAUCUGCCUGGUAGUGGGGGACAACGUUUCGAAAGGAACGCUAAUACCGCAUACGUCCUACGGGAGAAAGUGGGGGAUCUUCGGACCUCACGCUAUCAGAUGAGCCUAGGUCGGAUUAGCUAGGUGGUGAGGUAAAGGCUCACCAAGGCGACGAUCCGUAACUGGUCUGAGAGGAUGAUCAGGCACACGUGAACGGAGACACGGUCCAGACUCCUACGGGAGGCAGCAGUGGGGAAUAUUGGACAAUGGGCGAAAGCCUGAUCCAGCCAUGCCGCGUGUGUGAAGAAGGUCUUCGGAUUGUAAAGCACUUUAAGUUGGGAGGAAGGGCAGUAAGUUAAUACCUUGCUGUUUUGACGUUACCAACAGAAUAAGCACCGGCUAACUUCAUGCCAGCAGCCGCAGUAAAAC